UUGCGUAGGUGGAUAUUUAAGUAGCUAGUGAAAUUUGGUGGCUCAACCAUUCAAACCGUUAGCUAAACUGGAUAUCUCGAGGGCGUCAAGGGUAACUGGAAUUUCUAGUGUAGGAGUGAAAUCCGUAGAUAUUAGAAGGAACACCGAUAGCAUAGGCAGGUUACCGGGGCGUUUCUGACACUAAGGCACGAAAGCGUAGGGAGCAAACG
rnacentral:rRNA from 1 species